AUGAAUUUAGGGGUCUCCAUACCGAGCCUGGAAGGUGAGGAACGACCGCUAACGACCCACAACGACCCACCCUCCCAACCUAAUGCCGGUUCUACUCCGCCUGUCCACUCUGGGGAGUUGUGCUUUGACUUGGAAGCCCUCGGAUUGAAGGAUGGGCCCAAGACCCUCACAGGUGAAGCCUCGGAUGGGCCGUGGACCCUUGUGGGUGAAGCUCGGCGGUUUCCGAGUCCAUGUGGGUUGGCCCCUGCGGAGCCUGGAGCCUUCUUGCCUGCGGGCUUGCUGAUCCCGCGGAGCCAGCCAGCUCCCUUCCUGCUUCUGACGCGCCAGUCCAAGAAGCUGGGACGGCUGCUGGGAACCCAGCGCCGUCCUCCCGCUUGCUGUGAUCUAUCAGUCCUACUCUUCGCGGAGGCUCGGCCUGGCGCACCUCAGGCCCGCAGCAGAACCAAGGCUUGGCGGCAGCUGCAACCUCCACAGACGGCAGCUGCAACCUCCAUAGACGGCCGCCAGGUGGCGCCGUACCGGGGCCCGAGAGCAGGCAGGGCCCGGGGCGGGGUGGGAGCGACUCAAAGCUACGCGCCUGGGGAGGCCGCGGGCCCUCGCGGACUACGGAACUUGCAUCCUGCCGCCGGAUUUUCACAUCUGCCGGCCCAGAAGAAACAAUGACGUUGGGAUUUUGGGGGACUGGCCCUUGACUCGGGCGAAUCAGACACGAACGGCCGACCCCUUGCUCUCUUCCAUCUGCCUGCCGCUGCUCCCACCCACCGACUCCUAGAGCUCAUUUGUCGCUUCUGCAGCCUCCAGGAAUGCAAAUAAUUUCUCACUGGGUUUUGGUGAGGGCGGAGCUGCGGAGAAGCGCGAGCCCAACAGCUUUCGCCGCAGCUGGGUUCCCGGGCGCCGGCGGCUGGGGCCCUCAGAUGGGGGCGGAGGCUGCAAUAUGCACAGGCGGCCACAGUGUGGCGCAAGCGCCCUGCCGUGGGACACGCUCGGCGCGCGACGCUCCAACCCAUCAUUUACGGGUCAAAUAAUCUAGAAUCAAGUUGCUACGUGUGUCAUACUCCUCCUGUUUUUUCCCUAAACUUUUAGUAGAGUCAUUUACAUAGUUCAGUUUUUAUCUCAGCUAUGUUACAGAGUGGCAGGAAAAUAUUUUGUCUCCAAAUUACAGCCCAAGUGUGAGCAGCGUAUCCUGAAGCUAGUUAGUAAUCAACCAGAAAAUCAGGAAGGUAAAGCAAACCUCUGGAGGCAAGGUCUGGACUCUGUGAUAUCGCCGCUUCUACCUACUUGAAGUUUCUCCUUGCAGUGCCGCACUUGGAGAUUUGGACUUAAUUGUUAAACAAAAAGAACAGUUACAUUCUGCCUUCCUACAGGACAAGGGCCUAGGACUGGCAGCAUUUCUGUUGUCUCUAGAAAUACAGGGGUUAUGAGAAAGCCUCAAAAGAGAGGGCAAGAAUAAUAUAUCCAUCUGUCAUCAUGAGUUACCCCCUUGUAUGCCUAGAACAUACAUGGGGACAUUCUCUUUUAGUAAAGUCAAAGAGAAAAGCCAUGAACUAAGUGUCCUGAACACAGAGGCGUCAGCCCUCUCAGUCUCACAGUCCCUUAGGAGUCAUUUGUAAGUUCUAUCUCCUUCCUUAUCGUCUAUACUAUUCCCUCUUGUCUCCCUGAAAUCUGCCCACUCCUGGCUGUGUGUGUGUCUCUUUGUCUCCCUCUCUCUCAUUUUGUCUCUUUCUCUAUCUUAAUCUUCUGUACAUAUGCACCCACUCACCUUGUUACCUUGUUCUGAGAAAUGAAGUACUAUUUUUCAAACUAUGUAAUAGGAUUAUUAUCAGGCUAGGCUUGAUUUGUAAGUUUUUCAAGAUUUCUUUAGAGUAGGCCUCAUUUAAAGUCAUCUUUGAUGACCAAAUUUCCAAAUGUA